GGUAAGCGGAAGGUUUGGGGAGUGUCUCAGUUGUUAAUUGCUAUGUAAAAACACCAUCCCCAAACUUAGUGGCUUGAGAACGGACACUGGCCGGCCUGGACGCUGGGAACAUGAGCCACAUCGUACUGUCCGAAUCCGCCUGACUUCAUGCUCGUUCCCUGUCUUCAUGAGCAGAACUUAGCAUUCCUCUUCGUUAGUAUGACCGUUGUUCUCCAGGUGUCUCCUGCCCAGGGCAAUGGUGCGGUGAUUGUUCGUUAAAGGAAAUUCCCGUCCGCCCUUCAGUGGAAGAUAGUGACAGACAGUCUGUGCCCCAAGGUUCUCUGAAUAGCUCAGCUGGAAAUCCCUGCCUUGAUGCUUUCAGCCAUCUUGGAUUGUCAUAUGGUGAUUCUGGCCCAAUUCUAAUUCUACUCCCAUAUGGAAAGACUGCCUUAAACCAAGCUUCUAGUCGUCGGUCGUGUCCAUUGUACUCGGGGCCAGCUUUAUAGGCUUAACAGAACAACUGGCUUCGUGUGGGGUGAUGGGACUCAGCCGGCCAGCUCUUCUGUUCCACAUGCUGUCAUCUCGGGGCUCCACCCGCCCAGACAUCCAAGAUGGCUCCCUGGAACGUCUGGUGCCUUGGUGGUGAUGGCUGGAUGGCUGCCCUCAGCUAGGAUGCUGGGAUGGCAGGACCUCUCUCUGUCUCCAGACAGAAUGUGUGCUGAGCACCAUGGCCUGGCCUAUCUUGUUCCCUGAAACUCUGGUGCCUGGAAGGGUGCCUGGUGCAGAAUAGGCACUGCACUAAUCCUAGUGAUUGACUGGCUAGCCAGUCCCCCCCGGGAGCUGCUUCGUUGGCCAGUGACCACCUUGGGGCAGGAUGUCCCUCCCUGCGGUACUGCGUCCCGUCCCGAGCUGCAGGUGACCAGGACAAACACUAGCGUCUCCUCUGAAGAAACCCCUCAGGAAGAUAAGAAGAUAUUACAGUGAAGGAUACGGUCUUAGGACUCAGGAACAGAUAUGUGAGCAAAUCCCGCGAGAUCCGGUCUUCCUGUGAUGUACCACACCGUGAACCUGAGUCUCACUCACACGGCCGGCUCCAGAGUCUAACGUGUGGCCUAUUUGCUUGCCACAGUGGAACUACAAUGCCCAUCUAUUCAGGUCUGUUUCCCCAUCUUUCACUGCAGACGAAAAUACUUGGUUGUAAAAUCAUCCCAGACUUUGGUCGAGAGUGUUUUUUUUUUUUUUUAAAGAUUUUAUUUAUUUAUUUGACAGAGAGAGAGACAGCCAGCGAGAGAGGGAACACAAGCAGGGGGAGUGGGAGAGGAAGAAGCAGGCUCAUAGCGGAGGAGCCUGAUGUGGGGCUUGAUCCCAGAACGCCAGGAUCAUGCCCUGAGCCGAAGGCAGACGCUUAACCGCGGUGCCACCCAGGCGCCCCUGGUCGCGAGUUUUGAACUAUGCCUGAUAUAGGUUCGUAGAGCCACAGAGCAUGUGUCGAAAUGUAGAGACAUAUGGAAGCCAUGCCAACGAAAGAGAAUCACAGCUCAUGGAGUUGAAAAGGACUCUAGAGACUUCCGGUCUAACCUUCUCACCUUGUCAGGGAGGAAAUGGAAGCCUAGAGACUCCAGGGGAUUUGCUCAGCAUUUCACAGGUAGUGCCCAAUUUAGAACCAGGAUUCCUUGAUUGUGCAUCUAGUUCCUCGACCACAUCACGGAGCCUGUGCUCGUUUGGAAGAUACUAGUAUUGUAAAAUGAUUAAUCUUCAAAUUAGCCGUUUGACAAUAACUUUUCUUCGGUGGAGUUUGACCAGUUAUAUACCAUGCCAGCCACGUCUGCAGCCACGCAAAUUCACAGGCUCGUCAUGAUUUGGAGGACCCAAAGCUUGCCUGCUAUGACAGGUCCCCUUCUUUUGCACCAGCAAGGUGCACCACUCCUCUUUAAUGGCACUUAACACUGAGUAACUAUUAUUAUUAAUUGUUUACUGGUUUGUCUCGCCUACUAGACUGUGAGCUUUACAGCUGUAGAGAGCAUGCCUUUCUUCUCCCUUUAUUCCCAUAGUGCCUGGUUCAGUAAUUAUCAGAUGAGUCCAUGAAAUUCAGAAACUCUGGAAGCAGCACUGGGCCUUUCACAUAGGGCCUAGUGCAGUUAAAGGCAGUCCGUGAAGUCACUGGGCGGAGUUCGGGGUUGGCUGCCUGGCUUCGGCUUCCUGAGCAUCCCUCCCUGGCUGGCUGGGGCGGCUUAGGCAUCCUCACAGCUGACCAUGCGUUGAGGUUGUCUGCGCCAAGCACCAUUCUAAAUGCUUUACGUGCAUUUACUUGUUUUAUCCUCACCACCCUAUGAAAUACUACUCCUCUGAGCCCCAAGUUACAGAUGAGGCUUGGAGAAGUUAAUUUGCCUUGGUCUUACAACUGAAGCAAUCUGAAGCCAGAUCCUGCGCUUUAAACCCUUGGGCUCUUCUGCAGUAAACCAAGGACUGAAGCAGACA